rnacentral:rRNA from 1 species
AGUGGCGAACGGGUGAGUAUAUAUCGGAACGUGCCCAGUCGUGGGGGAUAACGUAGAGAGAUUUACGCUAAUACCGCAUACGAUCUAAGGAUGAAAGCGGGGGCUUCGCAAGAACCUCGCGCGAUUGGAGCGGCUGAUAUCAGAUUAGGUUGUUGGUGAGGUAAAAGCUCACCAAGCCGACGAUCUGUAGCUGGUUUGAAGAGAACGACCAGCCACACUGGGACUGAGACACGGCCCAGACUCCUACGGGAGGCAGCAGUGGGGAAUUUUGGACAAUGGGCGAAAGCCCUGAUCCAGCAAUGCCGCGUGUGGGAAGAAGGCCUUCGGGUUGUAAACCACUUUUGUACGGAACGAAACGUCUCGCUUUAAUACAGUGGGGUAAUGACGGUACCGUAAGAAUAAGCACCGGCUAACUACGUGCCAGCAGCCGCGGUAAUACGUAGGGUGCGAGCGUUAAUCGGAAUUACUGGGCGUAAAGCGUGCGCAGGCGGUUAUAUAAGACAGUUGUGAAAUCCCCGGGCUCAACCUGGGAAUUGCAUCUGUGACUGUAUAGCUAGAGUAAGGUAGAGGGGGAUGGAAUUC